AUCACACUAGGUUAAAAAAACCGUUUAUUUUAUUAAUAAAAAUUUUUAGUGAUUC
rnacentral:tRNA from 1 species